rnacentral:lncRNA from 1 species
GGUACCCGGGCGGCUGGAGUUCCACGCGGGCUCGGGACCGUGGCUCGGCAGAAACAGGCAGUCGCCUCCCAACCCGUCCCCGGUGGCGGCGGCGGCGGCAGCGUGGGGCUGAGGCCGGCCUCAGGCGCCAUAAUCUGUCGAGUCACGGGGUUUGGGUGGGUCGUGACUGUCGCCGGGGCCCGGCACUAGUCCCACUAGCAGUGCUUCGGCUUCAUCCUGCUCCUCUUAGCUCGGUUUGCGCCCUUCCAUCCCUUAGACCCCAGCAGGCCCAGACCUCCUCCCCUUACUUGGCGCAGAAGUGGAAAAGGCAGCCGUGAAAGUGCAACGUUCUGUGGGGUGGCGCUGGCGACCCUUUCCUUGACGGAAGUUGUGGUAUUUGAGAAGAACACUGAGUCACCAUUGCCACAGACUCUGAUAUCGGUACUGCUGGUAGGCCAUCCAUCCAAAUCUAGAAAGUUUCUAUUGAAUCACAGGGAUAUUGGACUUGAGCAACAAGUGAUUUAAAGUUAGCGUCUUGGGCCGUGCAUGCUGGCUGACACCUGUAAUUCCAGCACUUUGGGGGGUGCUGAGGCAGGAAGAUGGCUUGAGCACAGGAGUUUGAGACUA